AUUGAACGCUGGCGGCAAGCUUUACACAUGCAAGUCGAACGGUAACAGGCCGCAAGGUGCUGACGAGUGGCGAACGGGUGAGUAAUGCAUCGGAACGUGCCCAGUCGUGGGGGAUAACUACUCGAAAGAGUAGCUAAUACCGCAUACGAUCUAUGGAUGAAAGCGGGGGACCGUAAGGCCUCGCGCGAUUGGAGCGGCCGAUGUCAGAUUAGGUAGUUGGUGGGGUAAAGGCUCACCAAGCCAACGAUCUGUAGCUGGUCUGAGAGGACGACCAGCCACACUGGGACUGAGACACGGCCCAGACUCCUACGGGAGGCAGCAGUGGGGAAUUUUGGACAAUGGGCGCAAGCCUGAUCCAGCAAUGCCGCGUGCAGGAAGAAGGCCUUCGGGUUGUAAACUGCUUUUGUACGGAACGAAACGGCUCUGGUUAAUACCCGGGGCUAAUGACGGUACCGUAAGAAUAAGCACCGGCUAACUACGUG
rnacentral:rRNA from 1 species